rnacentral:rRNA from 1 species
UGCGUAGGCGGCUUUUUAAGUCGGAUGUGAAAUCCCUGAGCUUAACUUAGGAAUUGCAUUCGAUACUGGGAAGCUAGAGUAUGGGAGAGGAUGGUAGAAUUCCAGGUGUAGCGGUGAAAUGCGUAGAGAUCUGGAGGAAUACCGAUGGCGAAGGCAGCCAUCUGGCCUAAUACUGACGCUGAGGUACGAAAGCAGUGGGGAGGCAAACA